rnacentral:rRNA from 1 species
CCUACGGGUGGCAGCAGGGAGGAAUAGUGGGCAAUGGGCGAGAGCCUGAACCAGCCAAGUCGCGGGAAGGAUGAAGGAUCUAUGGUUUGUAAACUGCUGUUAUAUGGGAAUAAAGUGAGGAACGUGUCCCUUUUUGUAUGUACCAUAUGAAUAAGCAUCGGCUAACUCCGUGCCAGCAGCCGCGGUAAUACGGAGGAUGCGAGCGUUAUCCGGAUUUAUUGGGUUUAAAGGGUGCGUAGGUGGUUAAUUAAGUCAGCGGUGAAAGUUUGUGGCUCAACCGUAAAAUUGCCGUUGAAACUGGUUGACUUGAGUAUAUUUGAGGUAGGCGGAAUGCGUUGUGUAGCGGUGAAAUGCAUAGAUAUCACGCAGAACUCCGAUUGCGAAGGCAGCUUACUAAACUAUAACUGACGCUGAGGCACGAAAGCGUGGGGAUCAAACAGGAUUAGAUACCCUGGUAGUC